UUGGAACAAAACUGGAUUAUUUUGAGAGUCGUGUUUAACACUUUCAGAUUGAAUCAAUUUGAUGGUUCACUCGAAUUUUCCAAUCAAAUAAAACUUAGAGCCAAAGUUCUUUAAGAACAAGUGUGGAUAUCUAUCCGUGAACCAGUAUCCGACAAAACGAAGGUAUUUCGAAUUUAGGGUCGGGGCCACUAAGUGCUCUUAAGCAGUUUUCAUUUUGAAAGUCAAUAUGCCUCUCAAAGUUGGAGCCACUUUUCCACCGAAUUAUUAAUCAAUUUCUAGAAAAUUAAAAUUCUAAUGAAUUUUUAAAGAAGAAACUCAGCCCCUUAGACCCUGUGCUCCGGGUGCUGCCCCCUUGACACCUCUAAGAACUAGGGGUGCAAACGAUCCGAGCCCGAGCUCGUUUAACUUAUGAAAGCUCAAGUCGGCUAUAGUUGUUAAUGGUGAAUAGCGACAAAUAGCGAUAAGGUACCUAUAUGCUAUAUACUUGGUUAAUGCGUGAUGCGCCCGAUGCACUGAUGAGAGCGCAUCGCAACGGCUGAUGCGUUGCGAUUACAUGAUGCGAGAAUAUUGUGCCUAUUUCGCAUAAUGCGCUCUGAUGCACGCAUCAUUGUUUAUUAUGUUUUUUUUUUUUCAAAUUUUAUGAAAUGGGUUGAGUUUUUCCAAUAACUAAUAUCUUAUUAUGCUUCAUUUGGACCAUUGUGGUUCCUAAACACUUUUUGUGGUUCUAGAAACAUUUUAGUAUGCUUGAUUUGAACCAAAAAGCACAACUCUUAUCUUCUUAUCACGUUACGCAUCGCAUACGUGAUGUGCUCGCAUCGCGCAUCACGUAUUGCGCAUCAGAUUUUUGAACCAAACGCAUCGGAGCGCAUCACGCAAUUUAAAACCAAGGCUACAUAGCGAAUAGCGAUAAAUAGCAAUACACUAGAAAAA
rnacentral:lncRNA from 1 species